UGGGCGUUAAGUUGCAGGGUAUAGACCCGAAACCCGGUGAUCUAGCCAUGGGCAGGUUGAAGGUUGGGUAACACUAACUGGAGGACCGAACCGACUAAUGUUGAAAAAUUAGCGGAUGACCUGUGGCUGGGGGUGAAAGGCCAAUCAAACCGGGAGAUAGCUGGUUCUCCCCGAAAGCUAUUUAGGUAGCGCCUCGUGAAUUCAUCUCCGGGGGUAGAGCACUGUUUCGGCUAGGGGGCCAUCCCGGCUUACCAACCCGAUGCAAACUGCGAAUACCGGAGAAUGUUAUCACGGGAGACACACGGCGGGUGCUAACGUCCGUCGUGAAGAGGGAAACAACCCAGACCGCCAGCUAAGGUCCCAAAGUCAUGGUUAAGUGGGAAACGAUGUGGGAAGGCCCAGACAGCCAGGAUGUUGGCUUAGAAGCAGCCAUCAUUUAAAGAAAGCGUAAUAGCUCACUGGUCGAGUCGGCCUGCGCGGAAGAUGUAACGGGGCUAAACCAUGCACCGAAGCUGCGGCAGCGACACUGUGUGUUGUUGGGUAGGGGAGCGUUCUGUAAGCCUGUGAAGGUGUGUCGUGAGGCAUGCU
rnacentral:rRNA from 1 species